GAUGAACGCUGGCGGCGUGCCUAAUACAUGCAAGUCGAACGAACGGACGAUAAUCUUGCUUCUCGGAUGUUAGCGGCGGACGGGUGAGUAACACGUGUAUAACCUACCUAUAAUACUGGUAUAACUUCGGGAAACCGGAGCUAAUACCGUAUAAGAUUUUGAACCGCAGGGUUCAAAAGUGAAAUACGGUCUUGCUGGCACGUAUAGAUGGAUCCGCGCUGCAUUAGCUAGUUGUUAAGGUAACGGCUUACCAAGGCAACGAUGCAUAGCCGAACGGAGAGGGUGAUAGCCGGCCUGGGAACGGAGACACGGUCAAGAGUACUGCGGUAGGCCCCAGAAGGGUACGUGACGCAGUGGGGGAAAGCCUGACGGAGCAACGGCGCGUGAGUGAUGAAGGUCUCGGGAUCGUAAAAACCUGCUACUAGGGAUGAACCUAUGUGUAAGUAACUGUGGACAUAUUGACGGUACUUAAUAAGAAAGCACCGGCUAACUACGUG
rnacentral:rRNA from 1 species